rnacentral:rRNA from 1 species
UACGUAGGGUGCAAGCGUUAUCCGGAAUUAUUGGGCGUAAAGAGUUCGUAGGCGGUUGAACAAGUUUGUAGUUAAAUCUGGGCGCUCAACGAUCAACUCGCUACAAAAACUAUUUAACUGGAGAUUGGCAGAGGCAACUGGAAUUCCACAUGUAGGGGUAAAAUCCGUUGAUAUGUGGAGGAACACCAAAAGCGAAGGCAGGUUGCUGGGCCAUUUCUGACGCUGAGGAACGAAAGCGUGGGGAGCAAACAGG